rnacentral:rRNA from 1 species
GGACUACCGGGGUAUCUAAUCCCGUUCGCUCCCCUGGCUUUCGUGCCUCAGCGUCAGUUGAGAUCCAGUGUGCCGCUUUCGCCACCGGCGUUCCUUCCGAUAUCAACACAUUUCACCGCUCCACCGGAAGUUCCGCACACCCCUAUCUCACUCCAGCCCGACAGUUUAGGGCGCCAUUCCCCGGUUAAGCCGGGGGCUUUCACACCCUACUUGUCAGGCCGCCUACGCACCCUGUAAGCCCAGUGAUUCCGAAUAACGUUUGCACAGUUCGUAUUACCGCGGCUGCUGGCAC